rnacentral:rRNA from 1 species
CCUACGGGAGGCAGCAGUGGGGAAUAUUGGGCAAUGGAGGCAACUCUGACCCAGCAACGCCGCGUGAAUGAUGAAGGUCUUCGGAUUGUAAAGUUCUGUGAUGGGGGAUGAACACAAUGACGGUACCCCAAUAGCAAGCCCCGGCUAACUACGUGCCAGCAGCCGCGGUAAUACGUAGGUGGCAAGCGUUUUCCGGAAUGACUGGGCGAAAAGGGUGCGUAGGUGGUUUAGUAAGUUGGCGGUGUAAUUCCGGGGCUCAACCUCGGCGCUACCGCCAAAACUAUUAGACUAGAGUGCAGGAGGGGUGAGUGGAAUUCCUAGUGUAGCGGUGGAAUGCGUAGAGAUUAGGAGGAACAUCAGGGGCGAAGGCGACUUACUGGACGGUAACUGACACUGAGGCACGAAAGCGUGGGGAGCAAACAGGAUUAGAUACCCGAGUAGUC